rnacentral:rRNA from 1 species
GACGAACGCUGGCGGCGUGCCUAAUACAUGCAAGUAGGACGCAGUUGCGACCGGGUGAGUAACGCGUAGGUAACUACCUAUUAGAGGGGGCUAACUCUUGGAAACGAUAGCUACUACCGCAUACUAGUAGAUGGACCUGCGUUGUAUUAGCUAGUCGGUGGGGUAAUGGCCUACCUAGGCAACGAUACAUAUCCGACCUGGGAGGGGGAUCGGCCACACUGGGACUGAGACACGGCCCAGACUCCGACGGGAGGCAGCAGUAGGGAAACUUCGGCAAUGGGGGGAAACCUGACCGAGCAACGCCGCGUGAGUGAAGAAGGUUUUCGGAUCGUAAAGCUCUGUGGUUAAGGAAGCGGUACUUAACCAGAAAGGGACGGCUAACUACGUGCCAGCAGCCGCGGUAAUUC